rnacentral:rRNA from 1 species
AUUGAACGCUGGCGGCAUGCUUUACACAUGCAAGUCGAACGGUAACAGGCCGCAAGGUGCUGACGAGUGGCGAACGGGUGAGUAAUGCAUCGGAACGUGCCCAGUCGUGGGGGAUAACUACUCGAAAGAGUAGCUAAUACCGCAUACGAUCUAUGGAUGAAAGCGGGGGACCGUAAGGCCUCGCGCGAUUGGUGCGGCCGAUGUCAGAUUAGGUAGUUGGUGGGGUAAAGGCUCACCAAGCCAACGAUCUGUAGCUGGUCUGAGAGGACGACCAGCCACACUGGGACUGAGACACGGCCCAGACUCCUACGGGAGGCAGCAGUGGGGAAUUUUGGACAAUGGGCGCAAGCCUGAUCCAGCAAUGCCGCGUGCAGGAAGAAGGCCUUCGGGUUGUAAAAUGCUUUUGUACGGAACGAAACGGCUCUGGUUAAUACCCGGGGCUAAUGACGGUACCGUAAGAAUAAGCACCGGCUAACUACGUG